rnacentral:rRNA from 1 species
AUGGCGUUCUGCAAGGACUUCAAUACCAGGACGCACAAGUACAAGGCGGAGACUCCGAUGCAAGCCACGCUGACCGUCUACAUGGACAGCACCAGCCGGCCGGGCCACAGCAUGGUGAGAGCAUCUCCGGCGGCGCCAGCGGGGAAAAAACGCCUGGGAAAAGCCUGUUGGGGUGCGGGUGAAGAUGCUGUGAUGUCCCUCUCGCUGCGCCACGUCUACGAGAUCGCCAAGCUGAAGCAGGCUGACCCCUUGCAAUCCAUCAUCGGCACGCCCAAGUCCAUGGGCAUCGAAAUUGUCAAGGAUCUCUGA